rnacentral:rRNA from 1 species
UACAGAGGUGGCAAGCGUUGUUCGGAAUUACUGGGCGUAAAGGGCGCGUAGGCGGUUCGUUAAGUCCUGUGUGAAAUCCCCCGGCUCAACUGGGGAACUGCACAGGAAACUAGCGGGCUUGAGUUCGGGAGAGGGAAGCGGAAUUCCGGGUGUAGCGGUGAAAUGCGUAGAUAUCCGGAGGAACACCGGUGGCGAAGGCGGCUUCCUGGACCGACACUGACGCUGAGGCGCGAAAGCUAGGGGAGCGAAACGGG